UGCUAUCAGAAUAGGACUAAGCCAUGCGAGUCAACGUAGCAAUACGUGGCAUACGGCUCAGUAACACGUAGUCAACAUGCCCAGGGGACGUGGAUAACCUCGGGAAACUGAGGAUAAACCACGAUAGGUCAUAAUGUCUGGAAUGAUUUAUGGCUAAAAUCCACAUGGCCCCUGGAUUGGACUGCGGCCGAUCAGGCUGUUGGUGAGGUAAUGGCCCACCAAACCUGUAACCGGUACGGGCUUUGAGAGAAGGAGCCCGGAGAUGGGCACUGAGACAAGGGCCCAGGCCCUAUGGGGCGCAGCAGGCGCGAAACCUCUGCAAUAGGCGAAAGCCUGACAGGGUUACUCUGAGUGAUGCCCGCUAAGGGU
rnacentral:rRNA from 1 species